rnacentral:rRNA from 1 species
AUUGAACGCUGGCGGCAGGCCUAACACAUGCAAGUCGAGCGGAUGACGGGAGCUUGCUCCUUGAUUCAGCGGCGGACGGGUGAGUAAUGCCUAGGAAUCUGCCUGGUAGUGGGGGACAACGUUUCGAAAGGAACGCUAAUACCGCAUACGUCCUACGGGAGAAAGCAGGGGACCUUCGGGCCUUGCGCUAUCAGAUGAGCCUAGGUCGGAUUAGCUAGUUGGUGGGGUAAUGGCUCGCCAAGGCGACGAUCCGUAACUGGUCUGAGAGGAUGAUCAGUCACACUGGAACUGAGACACGGUCCAGAAUCCUACGGGAGGCAGCAGUGGGGAAUAUUGGACAAUGGGCGAAAGCCUGAUCCAGCCAUGCCGCGUGUGUGAAGAAGGUCUUCGGAUUGUAAAGCACUUUAAGUUGGGAGGAAGGGCAGUAAGUUAAUACCUUGCUGUUUUGACGUUACCGACAGAAUAAGCACCGGCUAACUCUGUGCCAGCCGCCGCCGUAAUAC